AAAAUUAAAACAUUUUGAAACAUCUGAAUUAAAUUUUCUUUAGUGUCUAGGUAGAUGUUUUUUUAGAGUGUAUUGUUUUCAGUGGCUAGCCGGGAGGUUGAAAACAUCAUCCUGCGAUGGAGAUCCAAUUUAUCGGUUGGUGGAGGAAGAUUCAUCGAUUACUUAAAGAAUCUAUCGGGAUUUGAGUGACCAGGAUGGCAGUUCCAAAAAGUUCCGUCGAUGGCUCAAAGUUUCGUGGAGCAAAGGAUCAACGUUUGCUGCUCUCAUACUACUGGAUUCGAAGAGGCGAUGUUGGGCGAGUUAAUGAUCGCAUUUGAACCCGAAGUGUAAGGUUCAGAUGCAAGACCAAAUUCGACGGAGCUUGCAAUAAAGGCCGAAGACAGCACAGCGAAAAAGGAAUCAUUAUAUCAUUUCAAGAAUACACCAUAUUUUUUUCCUAGAAAAGUUUAGAAUAAAACGGCUUCCAAAAAAGUGUAUAAAAUGUUUUUCUUUUGAUUCACACAUGUAAGAUAAACAGGAAUAAAAUACCGUAAAAA